AGAGUUUGAUUAUGGCUCAGAUUGAACGCUGGCGGCAGGCCUAACACAUGCAAGUCGAGGGGCAGCACAUGAAGUAGCAAUACGGAUGGUGGCGACCGGCGCACGGGUGAGUAACGCGUAUGCAACCUGCCUACAACAGGGGAAUAACCCGUUGAAAGACGGACUAAUACCCCAUAACACAGGGAUCCCGCAUGGGAAUAUUUGUUAAAGAUUUAUCGGUUGUAGAUGGGCAUGCGUUCCACUAGCUUGUUGGUGAGGUAACGGCUCACCAAGGCAACGAUGGAUAGGGGAACUGAGAGGUUUAUCCCCCACACUGGUACUGAGACACGGACCAGACUCCUACGGGAGGCAGCAGUGAGGAAUAUAGGUCAAUGGACGCAAGUCUGAACCAGCCACGUCGCGUGAAGGAAGACGGCCCUACGGGUUGUAAACUUCUUUUGUAAGGGAAUAAAGUGUAGUACGUGUACUAUUUUGCAUGUACCUUACGAAUAAGGAUCGGCUAACUCCGUGCCAGCAGCCGCGGUAAUACGGAGGAUCCGAGCGUUAUCCGGAUUUAUUGGGUUUAAAGGGUGCGCAGGCGGGAGAUUAAGUCGGCGGUGAAAUUUUGCAGCUCAACUGUAAAAGUGCCUUCGAAACUGGUUUUCUUGAGUGUGGAUGAAGUAGGCGGAAUUUGUGGUGUAGCGGUGAAAUGCAUAGAUAUCACGAGGAACUCCGAUUGCGCAGGCAGCUUACUAAACCAUAACUGACGCUCAGGCACGAAGGCGUGGGGAUCAAACAGGAUUAGAUACCCUGGUAGUC
rnacentral:rRNA from 1 species